rnacentral:tRNA from 1 species
GGCGCUAUAGCCAAGUGGUUACGGCGACAGAUUUGAAUUUGGAUUUCAAUAUCUGUUCCUCUUUGAGGGCGCAGGUUCGAACCCUGCUGGCGUCG